GGCUUCAAGCUCCUGAACGGCACAAAUCUAUUGUGCGCCCAGAACUACUGGAUGCAACCCUUCUCAAUGUGGUGCAUCACUUUAGACUACAGCGCGGAUACAGGUACCUGAAUGUGCCUGAAAGUAAAGCUGUAGUGAACCACUAUAAAUAUCAGGUGUGGGAUACUUUCAAAACCAAGUUCUUCAGGCGAGUUUCUACCUAUGUUGCUAACUGGCAAGAGGACCAAAACAAGGGUUCAAAAGACAGAGCACCUGGACUAGGGACAGUGGCCAUAGAACCUCCUGAUUGGCGACUACGGUUCUGUGAAGUUUGGGACACUGGUCUUAAGGAUUUUGUCUUGGCCAACUUUGCUGAUACUGCAACUGGGUUUCUUCCUUGGGAGAGGUCUCCUUUCUAACAAAUUCACGAUUUGAAGGUGCUUGCAGGUAGGCGCCAUUGUAAAACAGAUUAAUCAUACACGCAGGGUUCCAUUCUUUUGUUUCUUCAGCAAUUUUUGUAUCUUAUUUUUUUUGGUUUGUCAUAAACAUUCAAA
rnacentral:misc_RNA from 1 species